GCAUCGAUGAAGAACGCAGUGAACUGCGAUAACUGGUGUGAAUUGCAUGGCACUUCUAAUCUAACACCAAGCGAAUCAUCGAGUCUUUGAACGCAAACGGCACCCUUCCAGUCCAUUCCAAAGCGGUGGCGGAGGAUGAAGACAAGGGUAUCUCUGGCUGAGGGUAAUGGGAACUGAUCCAGUGUAACCGUUGGUUAGCUGGGGAUUGGGCUUGCUCGGGGUAAUUGCUCUGGCUUGCCUUAAAAUCAAGCGUUGUGUGGAUUGGACUUUCAAGCAUGCAUUGGGGACGCAGGCUCUGCGCUAUGGCAAGCCCUUGACCGUCAUAGGUGCUUUGAUUGGGGUUUUCAGUCUAGCCAACAAGGCUGGGUUGAAGGACUUUGGGGCUGCAUUGGGGGCGCAAGGGCAGCUCUGUUCGUGGCGUCCGAUGACCGUCAUGAUGCAUGCGUGAUUGGACUUCAACUAGCAAUUAUCAUUAUCAUCAUCAUUACCAUGGGUUACCUCAGGUCAGAGAAGACUACCCGCUGGACUUAAGCAUAUCACUAAGCGGAGGA
rnacentral:misc_RNA from 1 species